rnacentral:rRNA from 1 species
UACGGAAGGCAGCAGUGGGGAAUAUUGCACAAUGGGCGAAAGCCUGAUGCAGCUAUGCCGCGUGUAUGAAGAAGGCCUUAGGGUUGUAAAGUACUUUCAUCGGGGAGGAAAAAACAAAACUAAUAAUUUUAUUUCUUGACGUUACCCGAAAAAGAAGCACCGGCUAACUCCGUGCCAGCAGCCGCGGUAAUACGGAGGGUGCUAGCGUUAAUCAGAAUUACUGGGCGUAAAGAGCACGUAGGUGGUUUUUUAAGUCAGAUGUGAAAUCCCUGGGCUUAACCUAGGAACUGCAUUUUGAAACUGAAAUACUAGAGUAUCGUAGAGGGAGGUAGAAUUCUAGGUGUAGCGGUGAAAUGCGUAGAUAUCUGGAGGAAUACCUGUGGCGAAAGCGGCCUCCUAAACGAAUACUGACACUGAGGUGCGAAAGCGUUGGGGAGCAAACAGGGGUUUAGAUACC